UCCAUCAAAAGAAAAAAACCAAAAAGUGAAAAUGUCUAUGGGUGUUAAUGCCAAUAGUCUCAUCACUUAUGUGGGGCUUUUCUUGAUAUUGACAGCAGGAAUGUCAAAAGGACAUACUCAUCAAUGUAAAGACUACCUAAUCGUUUACAAGAAGCCUGGUCGUUGUACAGAAGCGAUGCCAUUUGGCACAUGCAAUCAUUAUUGCGCUAUCGGUGGUGUUUAUAAGUAUGGUUCAUGUUCAUCUAGACCAACGAAAUCAGGCGGCAGAGAAUCAAGAUGUGUGUGUAACGGUUGCAUAAAGGCGUAGACCCGAAAUAUCUUACAUGCAACAAUAUAUUUUAAUUUCAUUAUAAUAUAUCAUCUAUAAAUAAUAAAAAAAUUACGGUCACAUGCUUUUUUGUUGUUUAUAGCACCAAUAUAUGUGAAAAUGUACGCUCAAAAGCAGUUUACAAAUGUUAUGGUUGCAUAAAGAUAGAUAAUAUUAGGGAAAUACAUUUUGCCUU